AUUUCUCUGAGAUGUUUGCAAGCGGGCCAGUCCCCUGAGCCGAUAUUUCAUACCACAAGAAUGUGGCGCUCCGCGGUUGGUGAGCAUGCUCGGUUCGUCCGAGAAGCCUUAAAACUGUGACGACACUUUCACCUUGAACCAAGGGUUCAAGGGUUACAGCCUGCGGCGGCAUCUCGGAGAUUCC
rnacentral:other from 1 species